UAAGGAAUUUUCGUCAAUGGGGGAAACCCUGAACGAGCAACGCCGCGUGGAGGACGACGGUCUUCGGAUUGUAAACUCCUUUUAUACGGGACGAUAAUGACGGUACCGUAGGAAUAAGCCCCGGCUAACUCUGUGCCAGCAGCCGCGGUAAUACAGAGGGGGCAAGCGUUGUCCGGAAUUACUGGGCGUAAAGCGCACGCAGGUGGUCACGCAAGUGGUGUGUGAAACCAAUCAGCUUAACUGAUUGACGCCAUGCCAAACUGCGAGACUCGAGGGAUGGAGAGGUUGUUCGAAUUGCUGGUGUAGUGGUGAAAUGCGUAGAGAUCAGCAGGAAGACCAAGGGCGAAAGCAGACAACUGGCCAUCACCUGACACUGAGGUGCGAAAGCGUGGGGAGCGAA
rnacentral:rRNA from 1 species